GAAAUGCGAUAAGUAAUGCGAAUUGCAGAAUUCAGUGAGUCAUCGAAUCUUUGAACGCACAUUGCGCCCCGUGGUAUUCCGCGGGGCAUGCCUGUUCGAGCGUCAUUUCAACCCUCAAGCUCUGCUUGGUGUUGGGCCCUGCCCGUCGCGGCCGGCCCUAAAGUCAGUGGCGGCGCCGUCCGGCUCUAAGCGUAGUAAUGCUCUCGCUCUAGGGUCUCGCGGUAGCUUGCCAGCAACCCCAACUUCUAUGGUUGACCUCGGAUCAGGUAGGGAUACCCGCUGAACUUAA
rnacentral:misc_RNA from 1 species